rnacentral:tRNA from 1 species
GCCAGGGUAGCUCAGCUGGCAGAGCAACGGUUUUGUAAACCGUGGGUCAGGAGUUCGAAUCUCCUCCCUGGCU